rnacentral:pre_miRNA from 1 species
GGGGGAGUGCCAGAUUUUGGGCUGUGUCCCCUGGCGCCCUGGGCUCUGGGGCCUGCACCACUGGAAUCGUACUCCUGGGCACUGUGCGCACAGCU